GAAGCGGCAAAAGCUCAAAUUUGAAAUCUGGCGUCUUUGGCGUCCGAGUUGUAAUUUGAAGAAGGUAUCUUUGGGCCCGGCUCUUGUCUAUGUUCCUUGGAACAGGACGUCACAGAGGGUGAGAAUCCCGUGCGAUGAGAUGACCCGGGUCUGUGUAAAGUUCCUUCGACGAGUCGAGUUGUUUGGGAAUGCAGCUCUAAGUGGGUGGUAAAUUCCAUCUAAAGCUAAAUAUUGGCGAGAGACCGAUAGCGAACAAGUACAGUGAUGGAAAGAUGAAAAGAACUUUGAAAAGAGAGUGAAAAAGUACGUGAAAUUGUUGAAAGGGAAGGGCUUGAGAUCAGACUUGGUAUUUUGCAUGCUGCUCUCUCGGGGGCGGCCGCUGCGGUUUACCGGGCCAGCAUCGGUUUGGAGCGGCAGGAUAAUGGCGGAGGAAUGUGGCACGGCUUCUGCUGUGUGUUAUAGCCUCUGACGAUACUGCCAGCCUAGACCGAGGACUGCGGUUUUUAACCUAGGAUGUUGGCAUAAUGAUCUUAAGUCGCCCGUCUUGAAACACGGACCAAGGAGUCUAACGUCUAUGCGAGUGUUUGGGUGUAAAACCCGUACGCGUAAUGAAAGUGAACGAAGGUGGGGGCCCAUUAGGGUGCACCAUCGACCGAUCCUGAUGUGUUCGGAUGGAUUUGAGUAAGAGCAUAGCUGUUGGGACCCGAAAGAUGGUGAACUAUGCCUGAAUAGGGUGAAGCCAGAGGAAACUCU
rnacentral:rRNA from 1 species